GAUGAACGCUGGCGGCGUGCCUAAUACAUGCAAGUCGAGCGAACAGAUGAGGAGCUUGCUCCUCUGACGUUAGCGGCGGACGGGUGAGUAACACGUGGAUAACCUACCUAUAAGACUGGGAUAACUUCGGGAAACCGGAGCUAAUACCGGAUAAUAUAUUGAACCGCAUGGUUCAAUAGUGAAAGACGGUUUUGCUGUCACUUAUAGAUGGAUCCGCGCCGCAUUAGCUAGUUGGUAAGGUAACGGCUUACCAAGGCAACGAUGCGUAGCCGACCUGAGAGGGUGAUAGGACACAGUGGAACUGAGACACGGUACAGACUCCGAAGGGAGGCAGCAGUGGGGAAUAUUGGACAAAGGGCGAAAGCAUGAGAAAGUAAUACCGAGUGGGUGAAGAAGGCCUUAGGGUUGUAAAGACCUGUUGUUGGGAAAGAAAAGCAGCAGGGUAAUAAACCGAUGUCCUGACGGUACCAAAAGAAUAAGCACCGGCUAACUUCGUG
rnacentral:rRNA from 1 species